rnacentral:rRNA from 1 species
UGGCGAACGGGUGAGUAACGCGUGAGGAACCUGCCUCAAAGAGGGGGACAACAGUUGGGAACGACUGCUAAUACCGCAUAAGCCCACGGGUCGGCAUCGACCUGAGGGAAAAGGAGCAAUCCGCUUUGAGAUGGCCUCGCGUCCGAUUAGCUAGUUGGUGAGGUAACGGCCCACCAAGGCGACGAUCGGUAGCCGGACUGAGAGGAAGGUCCCCCACAUUGGAACUGAGACACGGUCCAA